CCACCCGAUUCGAACGUUAUCACUCGAUUGAAUGGGGCGUUAUCAGCGGUUAUCAGCCCAUAGAAAUGGGCCAGGAGGGGCCUCCUGCGCCUACUAGUAGGCUCAGAAGGCCGUGAUCAUCCAUCCAAAUGGUUGAUCACCCACAAAUAUACAAGAGAAGACUCCAGAUCCAAUCCCAGCAUUCCUGCUCACCUCUAAUCGGAAGUCUACUGGACGAAAGCGGGAACGUUGUGAUAUUUCCUGCUUAAUAUUUUCAGAUAUGGGAAAAGCUCUUAAGAUGACCACACGUUUCAGGAACGUUAAAAUUAAGUUGGUGAGGAGGUCUAUCGCUGGCCCUGCGAAGUUUUCUUACCUCAGUCAAGGUCUUCCCCAGCCCAGCUACAAACAGACCCACUCUUCAGACGCUUCUAUUACAUCUCAACCUGCUGAACCUGAUGAUGCGACACAAGCUGUUCUGAGAGCGCAUACAGUAAGGCAAAGAAGAGAGAGCUUCAUGCCUGGGAUGCAGUCAAGGAUGAGAUGCUUAAGGUGACGUUUGAAUGUUCAGCACCAAUCACUACCCAGUGUGCUGUCUGCCGAGAACAUGCUGAUUAUAGGUGCAUUGAGUGCAGCUCCACUGCAGUGUUCUGUGAGGUUUGCCUGAAGAGGAUUCACAGAAAUUUACUGCAUCUUCCUGAAAAGUGGAAUAGUGUUUACUAUGAGCCAUCCUCCCUGGGAUUAUUCUUAUAUUUACCUGAAGCCCAUGGCACCCAUGCUGUGUACACAAAGGACAUGAAGAUCAUUGUCAGCACAGGACGGCUCUGCACCGUUACAGUCUAGAUGUGUGCGUGUGAACCAGAAACCUGUACUCUGCUAAGGUUUGGGCUCCGGCCAGCAACAGCCACAAGCCCCAGACAGACAGCCUUCUCCAUCCCUCUGCUAGAGCUUUCUGUUUCUCUGUCACUGGAGUGUCAGGUUUCUGUUGAGGGUUUUUAGCAACACCCCAUAUCCCAUUUUAGGCAUCACCACUUCCGACAAAGAAGUUUGGUUGAUAUUUGCCCACAAUUAAAUGAUGGAACCAUAUGCCCAGCAUGUCCAAAGGCAGAUGGAGAUAUGAUUGUUACAUUGGAUGCCAACUUUGGCCUUGUGAGGAAUCAAAGCUCUGGUACAAGUGCGGUUGAUCCAUUACACAGAACCCACGUGUUUGUUGAUGAAAAGGAUGUAGAGGAAUACCUGCUAUCACAUCUUGACAGCUCAAAGCCUCGAGGUUAAUCAUUGUUGCAGAA